GAGGAAGGAGGGGAAGUUUCUCAAACUUCAGUGGCAAGGAUUUGGGGAUUUGGAUAUGAUCAGAAAGGAAGGCAUCUGUGGUUCUGCCCCAGGAGGGCGAUGGGAGAGGGAUUCCUGUGGGUGCUUGGAGCCAAUAUCCAGGACAGGGAAGAGAGCCAGAGUGAGAGGGCUGGAAAAGCAUGGCUGGAUUUAAAACAAAAGACUUUUCAUAAACUUUUAAACCAGCCAGGGCUUAAUUGGCAAGGGACAGGGGGCUGGAAGGAAGGGGAGGCUCUCCCACCCGGGAUGGCAGGCAGCCACAGAGCGGGACGAGAGGUGUUGGUGUAGGCAGCCCCCACCAAGUCUUCCCUGACCUCGGCAUCCUGCCCCACUGGCCUCAUAAAAAUGCCAGCGUUAGUAGGCUUUGUAAUAAAACUUUAUUUUUUUUCCCCCAAGAAACCUUAUUUGGCACAAAUAACAGUGGAUUAAGAUCGGCAGCCGUGCCCCUGCUGUGCUCUAAUGUCCUGGCCAUCUUCAAAGGUGGCUAUGAAGAUCAGACAAGGACAGGUCAACCUCAGCAUUCGUGACAAAGUUUUCAUCACCUGGCCGUUCCCAGAGCACGGAUUCGAGAAGCCUCCUGGACACUGGUUGCAGUCCGGCCCGUAGAAGCCUUUGCAGCACUUUGGAGAUCAAACUGUCCUGUGAAAGAUGCCCUGCCUGCAUCAGGACCCAAGAGACAUCUUGUCACCAGAGACAGGAAGCUGAGGUCAAGAAAAACCUGCACCAAUGGACCUUGUUAAAAUAGCUGUGAACUUCCUCAAGCCUUCCUGUACGUUUUCGCGACUUUUCCACGAUUGCCUCUCUUUAGUCAACCUACUAUAUAAAAGUUUGGGUU